UACGUAGGGGGCAAGCGUUGUCCGGAUUCAUUGGGCGUAAAGGGUGCGUAGGCGGCGCGGUAAGUCGGGUGUGAAAUCUCGGAGCCUAACUCCGAAACUGCAUUCGAUACUGCCGUGCUUGAGGACUGGAGAGGAGACUGGAAUUUACGGUGUAGCGGUGAAAUGCGUAGAUAUCGUAAGGAAGACCAGUGGCGAAGGCGGGUCUCGUGGACAGUUCCUGACGCUGAGGCACGAAGGUCAGGGGAGCAAAUGGG
rnacentral:rRNA from 1 species